AUUAAGAUGUCUGAAAAAAGUGGCAAACUGUAAAUUUGCUUAUGGAUUUAUAAAUCCUUUUAAUA
rnacentral:tRNA from 1 species